rnacentral:rRNA from 1 species
UACAGAGGCCAAGAGCGUUAUCCGGAUUUACUGGGUGUAAAGGGAGCGUAGACGGCGCGGCAAGUCUGAAGUGAAAGGCGGGGGCCCAACCCCCGGACUGCUUUGGAAACUGUCAUGCUGGAGUGCAGGAGGGGUAUGCGGAAUUCCUAGUGUAGCGGUGAAAUGCGUAGAUAUUAGGAGGAACACCGGCGGCGAAGGCGGCAUACUGGACUGUAACUGACGUUGAGGCUCGAAGGCGUGGGGAGCAAAC